rnacentral:rRNA from 1 species
GACGAACGCUGGCGGCGUGCUUAACACAUGCAAGUCGAGCGGAAAGGCCCUUCGGGGUACUCGAGCGGCGAACGGGUGAGUAACACGUGGGCAACCUGCCCCUAGCUCUGGGAUAACUCCGGGAAACCGGUGCUAAUACCGGAUACGACCUCAAUGGGCAUCUUCUGAGGUGGAAAGAUUUAUUGGCUAGGGAUGGGCCCGCGGCCUAUCAGCUUGUUGGUGGGGUAACGGCCUACCAAGGCGACGACGGGUAGCCGGCCUGAGAGGGCG